rnacentral:tRNA from 1 species
GGUUUCAUAACAUAAAAAUUAAUGUGGCGCAUUGGUAAAUGAUCAUUUCUUAAGGUGUUAGGCUUGGUGGUGGUCAUGGGUUCAAAUCCCAUUGACCCCA